AUGAGAUGGGAUCCCCCAGAUCAUGAGAACAACUUCCAUGCGCAUCACUCUUGUAACAGCUUGUGCUUGCUUGAGCCACGGUUUGACGAACAGCUUGAAGAAUCCAUGCUCGACGGUGCCCACCACCAAUGCCUUGUUGCGCAGCUCCGGUGUGGCGAAGACUACCAGAAAGUCCUUAGGGUAGAAUUUAUGAACCGAGUACCGACGGCGAGGGAUAUGCAGUUCCUCCGACAAGGCUUCCGCCACCUCUCGGCACGACAUCGUAGGGCGGGUGCCUCCCACGUAGGCCACCACCGCCAGCCUCAAUCGCUGCUCGAGGUCCUCCAUCUCCAGCGUCCUCGCAGCACGCAGAUACCACCAGUAGCACCAGCUGCAGCCGAUGCCUGCCCGAACCCCACAGGUUCGAUGUCGACCAGCACUGGCGAGGACCUCUCCAGAGGAGCGGCCUACCUAGUCACCAGCGACAGCCUGUUCACAGGUCCAGCCUGCAUUGAUGGCUGCGAAGACCGCACUACCUUGGCAACAACAUCCCGCCAGAGAUCUUCUUCCGACCUUGGGCUCCUUGGCCGCUUGCUCUCCAUAGAUAUGUGGCCCUCUAGACCACACCGGAUGCAAAGCAUGGGAAACUUGCAGUCUUCCCGGCAGUGUCCCUCCCGAAAGCACUUGAAGCAGAGACCAAACAGGUCCGCCGAGAUCUCUCUCCUCUCCGGGGACGAAGCCGGCGAAUGCGACCGGGCACCUUCCGCCGCCGCCUACUUCCAUAGCGCCUUCCUUUUGCGCCAUAAGGCCUUGCACGAAGGCCUUGGCUUGCGCCAUGGCACGGCGGAGCCCGCAGCUGGCCCGGGGUUGGCCCCAGCCGGAGCACCUCCAGCUCCGGUUGAAGAACCCGCAGAUCCAGACGAGCCAGACAACCCCAGGCCAGAGACGAUGGGCUGUAGCCUGGAGGACACUGAAGCAGGGCUGGUGGAUCCAGAGGCCAUGGAGAAACUUACCCCAAGCAACGUCGAAAGAAGGAAGCACCGGGGCCUGGGUGGCCGCCGGUGA
rnacentral:rRNA from 1 species